CCACAGCUCUGUUUUAUAGUGGGCAAAUGAAACCAGGGGAAGCAACGAAACUAGGGGUUUUUGGCUCUACCAUUCUAUUUCCUGCUUUAAAUAUCUCUCUUGAUAGAGCAUGAAUGGAGUAAGUUUUUACCAGUUAAUCGUCUGGAUCGAUUAUUAGUUGAGUGAAAAGUAAGAAGAAAUGGAGAUGCCAGGUUCUAUGAGGAAAUGGGUAUCUGAGAAUAAGCUCACCUCAGUAGGGGCAUUGUGGACUUCAAGUUUAGGGGCUUCUCUUGCUUAUAACUUCUCAGAGCCCUCCAUGAAAACCAGUCUCAAGCUUAUACACGCUAGGAUACACGCACAGGGUAUCACUCUGGCAGCACUCUCUGCAGCUGCUCUUCUUCAUCUGUAUGAACAGAAUACCCAACAGAAGCUUAAGCAAAAUCACGGCAUUGCUUAGCCCCCACAAAUCUCAAAUUCAUAUGACACUAGUUUACUGUAGAUCUGCUCUAUUUGCCAAGUACUCUUAUGUUUAAUAAGAGCUUUUGUAUUUGCUAUGUAAUCAGACACAAAAUAAAUGCAGCAGUUAUGUAAAAAUAUCAACUAUUUUAUAAUGAAAAGUUCAUUAAGUUCCUUGGUUUUAA